AGUGAACGCUGGCGGUAGGCCUAACACAUGCAAGUCGAACGGCAGCACAGUAAGAGCUUGCUCUUACGGGUGGCGAGUGGCGGACGGGUGAGGAAUACAUCGGAAUCUACUUUUUCGUGGGGGAUAACGUAGGGAAACUUACGCUAAUACCGCAUACGACCUACGGGUGAAAGCAGGGGAUCUUCGGACCUUGCGCGAUUGAAUGAGCCGAUGUCGGAUUAGCUAGUUGGCGGGGUAAAGGCCCACCAAGGCGACGAUCCGUAGCUGGUCUGAGAGGAUGAUCAGCGACACUGGAACUGAGACGCGGUCCAGGCUCCUACGGGAGGCAGCAGUGGCGAAUGUUGGACAAUGGGCGCAAGCCUGAUCCAGCCGUACCGCGUGGGUGAAGAAAGCCUUCGGGUUGUAAAGCCCUUUUGUUGGGAGAGAAAAGCAGCAGGUUGAUACCCCGCUGUUCUGACGGUACCCAGAGAAUAAGCACCGGCUAACUACGUG
rnacentral:rRNA from 1 species